CUCUGCUGCUGGGCUGUCCCUUCCCACACAAAGGCUUGGGGAGUGCUCUGAACAGCUUGUCAGAGUGGAGGCCUGUGUCCCCAGCCUUGGGAGCCCCAGGGACUGGCCAGCAUGUUGGAUGCUGCCCAGCUUCAAAGUGCUUCCCAGCCAAACGUGUCCAGCUGACCAUAUUCCCAGGGUGGAGUGUCUUUCCCACGACCAUACAGGGUCCAGGAGCAGCCUUGGCCACCAGCCCCCCUCCAACGCCCCCUUCCCUCACCACAGUCCUCUGAUUUGUGACCUACUCCUCUUUGGACUUUAGGCAAAUGCUUCUCCACUGGUCUGAACUUCAUCUUCUCCAUCUGACACUUGCCAUUGGACUCAGAGCCCACCCUGAAGGUCAGGAUGAUCUCCUCUUGAGAUCCUUGAUUUAAUUCCAUCUGCAAAGACCCUAUUUUCAGAUUUAUAGGAGCAUCGUGACCUGACCAAGGACAAAGCAGUUCCCGAUCUCCUUGGACCCGCACUGGUGCCAAUGUCUGUGGUCAUCUGUUACAUCUCCACCCCAAUCCCCUCCUCCUCCCCUGUCCUGAACAUAAAAAGAGCCUAAAAUUUGUAUGGACUUAACUCAAGAUGGUAUUAAUACUUCAGGAGGCUAGUUCAUCAUCUCGGUUGGCUGGCUCUCCCAAUAAACCUGCUUUUCUUUCCACUAACUCCCAUCUCCUGAGUUUUGGCUUUUGAGCUGCAAGCAGCGGAACCUGGGUUCAGAUACAACAGGGAGUGUCCUCCAGAACUCAGCAGCACGUGGGCGCUGCGGCCUGUACCAUACCCACUCCCCUUUCUUCUAGUU
rnacentral:lncRNA from 1 species